AAGAAAAUUAAAAAGACCCUUUCUUUUUCUAAUUUGUGGGCGCAAUUUCUUCAGAAGAGGAAGUUAAUCGACGAGGAGUUGAGCCAUAAACGAGCGCUACACUUAGAAGCUACCAGCUCGGUAUUUGUUGAAAAUUUUCCCAAUCUUUUUUGUUUUAGGGAGUUUAGGGCUUGAGAUCUGGAAUUGUUUGCAGAGAUUGAGAAAGAAUUGAGAACGACCGGUUGCGAUCUGAGAUAAUUGAGUUGCAAACAAGGUACGAUGAAAGCCAGAAGCUAGUGGUUGAAGAGAGCAAGAACAGCAUUAAGCUCUUAAUCUUAGAGGUUCCAUCUGCUGCAACAACUGUUUGUUGAUAUUGUGUUGAAAAUUGACCAUCGUGCUCAAGGUGAUUCAAAACCUCGUAAAGUAGGACUUCUUGAACCAAGGAGAGAAAGCUACAAUGAGAAAUACAAAGUAAAAGUGUGUAAGCAUUAGAAAUAAACGCUCAUUUGAAUCAGAUGUAAAAGUUUUAAAGAAACUAGUACGGGAGCAAUUUAAGCAUGACACUAUAUAAUGGGGAAUUAUUAAUUCUUAUUGCUUUGUAUUUGUUGGAUAUUUUGGAUCUUUGGUUUGUUGAAUUGUUAUAUGCAAUAUUUAAAGUUUUUUA